GACGAACGCUGGCGGCGUGCUUAACACAUGCAAGUCGAACGGUAAGGCUCCAGCUUGCUGGGGUACACGAGUGGCGAACGGGUGAGUAACACGUGGGUGACCUGCCCUGCACUUCGGGAUAAGCCUGGGAAACUGGGUCUAAUACCGGAUAGGACCAUGGUGUGGAUACUGUGGUGGAAAGUUUUUUCGGUGUGGGAUGGGCCCGCGGCCUAUCAGCUUGUUGGUGGGGUAAUGGCCUACCAAGGCGGCGACGGGUAGCCGGCCUGAGAGGGUGGACGGCCAAAAUGGGAAUGGGAAAACGCCCAGACUCCCACGGGGGGGAGGAGUGGGGAAUAUUGGACAAUGGGGGGAAGGCUGAAUCAGGGACGCCGGGGGGGGGAUGACGGCCUUCGGGUUGUAAACUCCUUUCACCAUCGACGAAGGGUUUCUGACGGUAGAUGGAGAAGAAGCACCGGCUAACUACGU
rnacentral:rRNA from 1 species